GUGUCAGCCGCCGCGGUAAUACGUAGGGUGCGAGCGUUAAUCGGAAUUACUGGGCGUAAAGCGUGUGCAGGCGGUUUGUUAAGACAGGUGUGAAAUCCCCGGGCUUAACCUGGGAAUUGCGCUUGUUACUGGCAAGCUAGAGUGCGUCAGAGGGAGGUGGAAUUCCACGUGUAGCAGUGAAAUGCGUAGAGAUGUGGAGGAACACCGAUGGCGAAGGCAGCCUCCUGGGAUGACACUGACGCUCAUACACGAAAGCGUGGGGAGCAAACAGGAUUAGAUACCCGUGUAGUCC
rnacentral:rRNA from 1 species